rnacentral:misc_RNA from 1 species
CUCCUCCUGCUCUACUGAAGCAAAUCCCUGCCUCUCCUCCUUCACACCACUUCCAGGCGAUCCAACCUUUGUCAUCUCUUCCUCCUUUCGGUUUCGCGAACAACAUACUACAACAGUUGCAUCAUUCAAUUGGUGGUGGUGGUGGUUUUCUGUAGAGAUAUGGGGAUAUUUGAACCCUACAGAGUAAUUGGAUGCAUAACAAGCAGUGUACCCUUCUCCGUCCA